GGUAGUGACAAGAAAUAACAAUACAGGGCCUAACGGUCUUGUAAUUGGAAUGAGUUAAGUAUAAACCCCUUUACAAGUAUCAAUUGGAGGGCAAGUCUGGUGCCAGCAGCCGCGGUAAUUCCAGCUCCAAUAGCGUAUAUUAAAGUUGUUGCAGUUAAAAAGCUCGUAGUUGGAUUUCUGUUAAUUCUUAUAUAUAGUACUACGGUAUUUAUAUAACAUUAACAUAAUUCAUAUUACUUAUUUAAAGUAUAUGAAAUUUUACUUUGAGAAAAUUAGAGUGCUUAAAGCAGGCUAUUGCCUUGAAUACUCCAGCAUGGAAUAAUAUUAAAGAUUUUUAUCUUUCUUAUUGGUUCUAAGAUA
rnacentral:rRNA from 2 species